GGUGGGUGGUGGGGCGAGGGAAGGGCUCCCCAGCCUGCAGAGGCGGAGGGUGCAAUGGAGCCUGUCGGCCGGCGCGUCCCUGCAGCGCUGCGGUCUCCACGACGACUGUGGGCCGCGCAAGGCCCCCGUAGUCCGCUCUCCUAAAGCCUCGGUGAGAGCCGAGCAGCCACAGAGUGUGUGUUCACAAAGGGUCACCACACACGGAGCUGCCCCUCCCUGUCUCCCUAAACCCCAUCUUCGAGGCCAGGGGCUUUUCUGCCAGGAUUCUGGGGUGUUUCUCCUUUCCUCCCUCCCAGAUCUUCUAACGAUACACCACACGCUCGUCGACCUGCUGGACUCUGUAAACCCAACACAAGGUCACGGUCCAGUGUUGAGAAGUUGACUUUGCUAGUGAGAGAGACCCCAAUGCUUAUCUCCAAAGAUGGAAGAGGAAGAUUAAAACAAUAAUUUGCA